AUUGAACGCUGGCGGCAUGCCUUACACAUGCAAGUCGAACGGCAGCACGGGUGCUUGCACCUGGUGGCGAGUGGCGAACGGGUGAGUAAUACAUCGGAACAUGUCCUGUAGUGGGGGAUAGCCCGGCGAAAGCCGGAUUAAUACCGCAUACGAUCUACGGAUGAAAGCGGGGGACCUUCGGGCCUCGCGCUAUAGGGUUGGCCGAUGGCUGAUUAGCUAGUUGGUGGGGUAAAGGCCUACCAAGGCGACGAUCAGUAGCUGGUCUGAGAGGACGACCAGCCACACUGGGACUGAGACACGGCCCAGACUCCUACGGGAGGCAGCAGUGGGGAAGUUUGGACAAUGGGCGUAAGCCUGAUCCAGCAAUGCCGCGUGUGUGAAGAAGGCCUUCGGGUUGUAAAGCACUUUUGUCCGGAAAGAAAUCCUUGGCUCUAAUACAGCCGGGGGAUGACGGUACCGGAAGAAUAAGCACCGGCUAACUACGUG
rnacentral:rRNA from 1 species